CAAAAACAACAUAAAUUACUUGAACACUUUGGAAUCUGGGUACAGGCUAUUGGCAAAAACAACAUAGACUACUUGAGCACUUUGAAAACUGGGUACAGGCUGUUGGCAAAAACAACAUAGACUACUUGAAGACUUUGGCAUCUGGGUAUAGAAGAGGGACGAAAGAUACCAGAGGGAGAGUCAAACCCAUAGAUAGAAAAUAAACUGACAAAGCCAAAAAUUAAAAAUAAAAAGACAAAC
rnacentral:lncRNA from 1 species